rnacentral:rRNA from 1 species
AACGAACGUUAGCGGCGCGCUUAACACAUGCAAGUCGCACGAGAAAGGGCUUCGGCCCCAGUAAAGUGGCGCACGGGUGAGUAACACGUGGAUAAUCUUCCCUCGGGCGGGGGAUAACAUUCCGAAAGGAGUGCUAAUACCGCAUAAGACCACGAGGCCGAAAGGCCUUGAGGUAAAAGCAGGCCUCUAUACAUAAGCUUGCUCCUGAGGACGAGUCCGCGGCCCAUCAGCUAGUUGGUAGGGUAACGGCCUACCAAGGCUAAGACGGGUAGCUGGU